CCAACCCAGCCAGCCAUUCUCGCCGCCGGGACCCGUAAGCCGGUGCGUGCGGCGACCGGAGAGCGCGGGCUGCCCUAAGCCACACCGCGGUUCUAGGACUUCUCCAUUCCCAGUGCCCUCGCGCCGCAUCGCCCCCUGUGCGCCCGCCCGUCCGCAGCCUCCGGCGAUGGGCUCGCCCCCUAGGGGACCCCCGCCGGCUGCUCCGGCGCCGCCGCCGCCGGCCCCAGCAGGGAGGCCUUUCAAGUCCAUUUCCAAUGGGACAAUUGAACUAUGAGAAAAUGCAGCCAGGCUUGAGCCCUAGCUUCACACACUGAUUGCCUUUCAGGAACUAGGUCUUGACACAUAUCACGCUUCCGGUACAUCAAGCUAAAGCUAACAUAAUCAGCAGGUACUCCCUCCGUCUCAAAAAGAAUGCAACUCUUGCUUUUUGAGAAAUCAAACAAUUUCAGGUUUGACCGAAUUUAUAUAAAAUAGUAUUACUAUUUAUAUUACAAACUAAAUAUUAUUAGACUAAUCAUAUAUUUUCAUACUAAAUAUAUUUGGAUACAUAAAUAUUAAUAACUUUUUAUACAAAUUUGGUCAAAAUUAAUAUUAUUUGACUCCUCGAGAAAUGAGAUUUACAUUCUUUUUGGGAUGAAGGGAGUAUAUGAUGUGCAGUUGUUUAUUUCCUUGCCUUUUUCUGUUUGAGUCAACUAUGCUUUCAUCACUAUUGGCCUCCGUAACAUCUUUCUUGGUCAAGCAGUAGUUAACAGGAGACAAAAUUACUUGUUGCCUUGUUGGUUUACUCUGUUUGUUUUCCAUAUUAAUAUUUUUGCUUGUAGUUGCAGUAAAUACCUGUUAUGAACUUAUGAUGGAAUCGACUCACCGCCUCUUCAGGAUAAUAUUGGCUAUCUAUCAGUCAGUGACUUUUAGGCACUAACGUAAACAUGCAUUUGCCUUUCAAUUUGUGAAGCAAGUCAUGACUCACGCAGCUUGCAGAAAUGGAGUCUGAUAUCUGGCUGGUUUCUGAAAUUCAGACAGAUUAUGUGCAUCAAUCAGCAAUUGGCAUCUUAAAUUCGGAUGUAAUCUGAGUAGCGAUUUCAGACUACUUGCAACAGACGCUUACAUGGGUGCAUUCACAUAUGUAUGCAAGGCAUGGAGGAGCAUACAUCUUUGUAACAAACUGCGAUCACUCUGUACAAUUCUUAGGAGGAGCAAAGGGGUAGAAUAUGUAGCAUGCCAUUGUAGCCUUGUAGGUAGUAGACUGACCAUGUAUUUGAAGUUUUUUUUUGCUAGAUUACUAGAUUAGUGUAUAGUCUUAGCUGCUCCUAGUUAUGGAUGUCACAAACCUAACUGUAUAAAUGUUUUACGUUGCCUUGUUCUGAUCCUAUCCUUUGAUGAGGAGAUUCAUGUUCUAUA